CAUCUCUUUCUCUCCCAAUAUCUCCUCUCAUCUUCUUGCUAUUAGGCUUGUUCAUAACACGUUAUCAGCACGAUUGCUUUGGAUCACAAAAUCAUAAGGUAUAUCAUAUUCUCUAAUUAUUUUACCAUUAUUCAUCAUACUUAUACAUAAUCCAUAUUGUAAUUCAUACGAUUAUGGAUUGUUUCUACCAUGACAAAUCUUGCAAAGCUUGAAUUUAUGGCUUUAGAUAUUACUGGGAAAAACUAUUUGUCAUGGGUGUUGGAUGCUGAAAUACAUUUGAAUGCAAAUAAUCUGGGUGACACAAUUAAAGAAGGAAAUAAAGCAAGCACCCAAGAUAAGGCAAAAGCCAUGAUCUUUUUACGCCAUCAU
rnacentral:lncRNA from 1 species